CUUUAUGGUGGUUAUGCGUGGGGCUCAUUCGUGAGCGCCGGGUUUCCCGCUUAGACCGGUCUACCAACCCACGCAUGGCCGCCACCUCU
rnacentral:antisense_RNA from 1 species